rnacentral:rRNA from 1 species
AUGGCCUCGCCGACGAUGAUGCCAGAAGAUGUGGUCUUCGAGAUACUCUCACGGGUGCCGGUGAAGUCGGCCUGCCGAUUCCGGUGCGUGUCCAGCGCGUGGGACGCCCUCAUCACCGGCCCGGCGUUCGUGGCCGCGCACAGAGCCCGCACGGAGCCGCUGCUCCUCUUCCUCGCUGCCGACUCCUCCGAUGAGAACACCAGAGACCUGCGGCUGAUGGACACGGACGGCAACGUCGUAAGAGUUAUCAAGAGGCCUGGUGUCUGCACUUACGGCUACCGCCUCGACGGCACGGUCUGCAUCACCAAUGAUUAUCUUGGCGUCGAGUCGGUCAUCAACGCCAUCGAUCUUCCCACCGGGGCUGUGACGAGGAUCUCCACGCGGUGGAACAGGGAGUCGUUCUGGGAUCUCAACGUCGGCUGUGCCGCCCCGUCUCGCACGUACAAGGUCGUCUGGCUCACCAGCAAACAUUGCAAGGUUCUCACGUUACAAGAUGGCCACGCCAAGUGGAGGCACGUGCAGUCCCCUUCGGAACGAGUCACCGCCGACAGCCCUAGCAACAGCUCCGCGGUCACUGUCAACGGUGUCAUGCACUUCCUUUCCGGGUCCAUGUCAGGGCUGGUGGAAAAGGUCUCUGUACUCCGCUUUGAUCUCGAAAGUGAGGAGUGGAGGGUGUCGAUCAAGGGCCCAACGAAAUCAUGUGGAAAACCACAAAGGAAGACAAAGACAAGCUGUAUGGUCAAGCUCAAUAACACCCUAUGCAUGGUUCAACGAAGCUCGACUAACAUGUGUCUCAUAUGGCUUCUCAAUGAUCCCACCAAAGGCGUCUGGGAAAAGGAGUACAUGAUAGAAACGGAUUCACUAGUUGAACGGGUGAUUCCUUUGACGGUGAUGCAUGAUGGUGAAAAGUUGCUCUUCUAUGUGCAUAAUAGGCUGUCGGCAACAUCGACAUUGGAAGUCUGCGAUCCACUCAUACAGAAGUGCACACAGCGUCUGGUAUUUGCAAGCAACCUUUUGAGUGCUGGCCUGUGUGAAUUGCACUUGGAAAAUUUUGUCUCAACUAAGAUCUUGCCGGUGGCUGCUCCGAGUGUUUUGUAUCACCAAAGUUUUCACCAAUGGCUUCGUGGACUGAAACCUUUUUCUCUUUUUUAUAAAUGGUGGGCCUCAUCAAAUAACAACGUUUGA